CACCCCUUUAAAAAAAGAAACAGAGUUUGAAAACUCUCUCUCGUCCUCUCCAAGUCCGGCCAACAGGGCCGUUGCUCGGGCCGUCGUGGCCAACGGUCGGCGACGCAGGAGGGCGCUCCUGAUCAGCGCUUUGAAGCGCGUUCAAAGACCAAAGCCUUAGAAUGGGGAAACAAUGAGGGAAAAAAAUCUUGGUCCUUCCCUAAACUCGAAUCCGACGGCGACGAAGGACCGAUAACGACGGAUCUAAGGGCCGAUUCAGGUAUGUUUCUUUCUACUUUUCCUCCCUUUUUAUUAUCUUUCGUAUUUUAAAGAAAAUAAACAAAUAAAUAAAAUGGAAUCAAAAUAAAACAAAACAAACAGAUAAACUCUAAAAUAAGAGGUAAUCCCUUCUUCUUCUUCUUUUUUUGUAUUUCUUUUUGUGUUUGUAGCCGAAGAAGAGAAAAUACAAAAUAGCUCUUGUUGUUUUUUUUAUAGGCCAUUACAAACUAUUUAUUUUCUAUAUUUUGUUUGUUUCUCCGUUGUCUGCUUCUACUGUUUGCAUUGAUUUCUCUCUGCAGGUGUCAGGCGUGCGUGGGGGAAGCAUGUGGCGGUGGCGACAAAGGCAGUGGCAGUGGCAGGCCUAAGGGCAACAGAAGACCUAGGUGCAGCGCACCUAGGGUUUUUGCUUGCUGAGAUUUUUUAGUUUGUAGGCUUAGGGUUUUUUUACUAUUGAGCUGUUCUGAUUGGGUUUGUUAUUGGGUUUGUAAUUUGGUUACAUGGACUACUAGCCUUUUUUUAAAAAAAUUUUAGUUUGGUCUGGUUUGGGUUUUGGGCCGGACAAAAUUUGGGUUUUAUAAUGUGAAGAAAACAAUUAAUACCAA
rnacentral:lncRNA from 1 species